GGUUCGAUCCUAGCUCCAGUUGAACGCUGGCGGAUGUUUACAUGCAAGUCGAACGGCCGCACGGACUUCGGUCUGGUGGCGAGUGGCGAACGGGUGAGUAAUGUAUCCGGAACGUGCCUAGUAGCGGGGGAUAACUACGCGAAAGCGACAACUAAUACCGCAUACGCCCUUCAGAGAAAGCAGGGGACCUUCGGGCCUCUUGCUAUUAGAGCGACUGCAUCUAUCGGAUUGGCUAGUUGGUGGGGUAACGGCUCACCAAGGCGACGAUCCGUAGCUGGUUUGAGAGGACGACCAGCCACACUGGGACUGAGACACGGCCCAGACUCCUACGGGAGGCAGCAGUGGGGAAUUUUGGACAAUGGGGGAAACCUGAUCCAGCCAUCCCGCGUGUGCGAUGAAGGCCUUCGGGUUGUAAAAGCACUUUUGGCAGGAAAGAAACGGCACGGGAUAUUACCCCGUGCAACUGACCGUCACCUGCGAAUCAACUCAGCCUAACUACGUGCCAGCAGCCGCGGUGAUAUGCGUAGGGUGCAAGCGUUAAUCGAUUACUGGGCGUAAAGCGUGCGCAGGCGGUUCGGAAAGAAAGUCUUAAUCAGGCUUAACUUUGGAACUGCAUUUUUAACUACCGAGCUAGAGUGUCAGAGGGAGUCGGAAUUCCGCGUGUAGCAGUGAAAUGCGUAGAUAUGCGGAGGAACACCGAUGGCGAAGGCAGCCUCCUGGGAUAACACUGACGCUCAUGCGAAAGCGUAAGGAGCAAACCUGAUUAGAUACCCUGGUAGUCCACGCCUCAACGAUGUCAACUAGCUGUUGGGGCGCUUGGGCCUUGGCUAGCGCAGCUAACGCGUGAAGUUGACCGCCUGGGAGUACGGUCGCAAGAUUAAAACUCAAAGGAAUUGACGGGGACCGCACAAGCGGUGGAUGAUGUGGAUUAAUUCGAUGCAACGCGAAAAACCUUACCUACCCUUGACAUGUCUGGAAUCCCGAAGAGAUUUGGGAGUGCUCGCAAAGAGAACUUCGGAACACAGGUGCUGCAUGGCUAUGGUGAAGCUCGGUAAUCGAGAUGUUGGGAUUCAGUCACCAGAAACAGCCAUAUCGUGGAACUACGAAAGGGCACUCUAAUGAGACUGCCGGUGACAAGCCGGAGGAAGGUGGGGAUGACGUCAAGUCCUCAUGGCCCUUAUGGGUAGGGCUUCACACGUCAUACAAUGAAUGGGACGGUCGCCAACAACCCGCGAGGAGACCAAUCCCGAAACCCGAUCGUAGUCCGGAUCACCAGUCUGCAAACUCUGACUACGUGAAGUCAGAAUCGCUAGUAAUCGCGGAUCAGCAUGUCGCGGUGAAUACGUUCCCGGGUCCUGUACACACCGCCCGUCACACCAUGGGAGUGGGUUUUACCAGAAGUAGUUAGCCUAACCGUGAGGAGGGCGAUUACCACGGUAAGUUCAUGACCGGGGUGAGAAUGUAACAAGGUAA
rnacentral:rRNA from 1 species